UACGUAGGUGGCGAACGUUAUCCGGAAUUAUUGGGCGUAAAGGGUGCGUAGGUGGCUUGAUAAGUUAGCAGUGGGAAAUCGAGGCUCAACCUCGUGGAAGCUGGUAAUACUGUCAGGCUCGAGUGCAGGAGAGGUUAACGGAACUCCAUGUGGAGCGGUAAAAUGUGUAGAUAUAUGGAAGAACACCAAUAACGGCGAAGGCAGUUAACUAUUCUGUUACUGACAUUGAGGCACGAAAGCGUGGGGAGCAAAACGG
rnacentral:rRNA from 1 species